GUAUAACUCAAGAUAUCAGCAUAAUGCAUGUGGAGAGAGUAGACUGCGGACAAAACAAGGGUCAUGUGAACCAAGAAGACUAGCAAACAUACCAGGCGGUGGAACAGCUGUGACUACAUUGCAAACAGCACAGCAUACAGAAGUUGCUCCAACUGGAUAGAGUAGAAGGUUUCGACAACCAGAACAUACAAGUUGGCUCUGUGCACCUGAUGACCGACAGAAGCUUCUUUUAGAAAUUAGAUCGCUAGUUAUAAAUUACUGAAAAAAGCAGAGCAACUCUUUAUUGCUGCAAGACUGAGGAGAUUCUAUGGACCAUGCCCUGUAGGACACUUGGUGAGACAAAUCUUGUUGGUCACUGGAUUGGGUAACAUUGACCCUUCCUGAAUCAGCUACUUAGGUAAUUGCAGAAUCUCUUCCUUACCCAACUCUCCUAGUAUUUUCUUCCAGUGAAAUACUUGGAUUUUUCUUUAUUGAUCUUUCAAUUUCUCUGCUAAUUGUGUAACUAGACCUGGUUUGGUUGACCAGAAGGUGGAAGAGAAGAAAAGGAAAUUUGGAAUCUUAUAACAGCUAUUCUUUUUCCCAGAUAGUUGUUAGAUCCCAAGGAUUCUUUUGUUCUCUGUUUAUUGGGCUACCAAAUGGAAAGAGAAUUCA